rnacentral:other from 1 species
AGCUCCCUGCUGUGCUCGUGACAGGUGAAUAGUCUUGAGCCAACACCCAUAAGAAGGGAGCCGUAUUGGGGUGUGAAUUGCAGAAGCGUAUUACGCAUGUAGCAUGAAACACCCUUGAGGCGCCCACUUUACUUAAGGGUUCAGAGACUUGAACUUGCACGGCACCAAGCGGGGAUUUU